AAACUCUUGUUUAUUCAUUGUGUAAGAGCCAAUAAUAUGAGCAGCAUAAUAAGGUAUGUAUAUGUUUUGAUUUUUAUGAAGCCAAGUUGUGUUUUUUGUACCUUUGUUGAUAAGUUUUGCCAUGCAGUUGAAUAUGCCAAGGGAAGGAAACUCUGGAUCGUUGGGUUGGGUCAUGGCGAUGUUCCAUAGUCCACUGAGGACUAAGACAUGUUCUUGAUUGUCUGUUAGAGGCAUUUCCUUGAAGUAGAUUGAUGUUUUUGUUCUUCUGAGAGUUAUGUUUGGUUCUUUCAUGAUGCAGAAGAAACAACAAUGGCUGCUACAAAGGUGAGUAUUUGGAGAGUCUUCUGUUAUGUCAUCAAUGGUGUUGUAUGGAGUUUUGGGAAUGUUAUCAUGGGUUGCUAUUUUUUUCUUCGUUUGUGAAUACAUGGUUUGUGUGAUAAGUUGGUUGGAGGGUUCUUAGAUCAGCUUUUAAGCUUUGGCUUGGUGCUUAUAGUGAUUUAUACAAAGAAGAUAACUGUGUGUGUGGGUGGGUGGGGUGGGGGGUUAAGUUUGAAAUAUCAAGUAAAGUAAAAAAUCAACGGUACACUGACAUGAUGUGACACAAGUGUUAGAUGUUUGAGUCUGCUAACCAUUUGAUCGAAAGUUUAAUAUUUAGUUGGUGCAUAUGAAAAAAUAUAUGUUAGAGAAGUCAAUCCAUUAAAUAAAUCUCAGUUAACUCAAUUAAUUAAUUGCGUGCACUAGAUCCAUAUGUUUAAAAAAUACAAUGGGAUGAUCACUUACAUCUACAAGUAGAUAAAUGGCAUGCUUUCAUAUAAUCCCAUAAAAGCAGUUUCUAUCUCGGGAAGAAUAUUUGCAUGUUUUUUUUCUUUCUUUCUUUACUGUAAUUAGUAUAUGAGAGAUAUAUUUUGCAUACUUUUUUUAAUCUUAAUCUCAUGUACAAUUUUUCACCAUAUUAAUUAUAUAUUUGUCAUGUUAGGUGGGGUUUAAAAUGACAUAAAAUUAAGGUAAAAAGUGAUCAAUCAUGGGCAAAUUUUUAAAACAUUAAGUGCUUCCCACAUCAAAAGCGAGCACAAGUGGUACAUUGUAGUUAUUGUUCAAGUUCAACACUUAUGAAAAGCUUCUUUACCGUUAGUUUUUUAAUCCAAUUGCAUUACCCUUACUCAUACAAGAGUUUUUUGUCUUUAUGUGACUAAUAGGAUCACGUAACCAAUUUGGUAUUUAAUUUGCAUCAAGUGCGUAUACAAAUUUGUCAUGAAGCUUCUAGUAAAUUAAGUUCAUUUGUCAACAACUCUAAUGCUCUAUCUAGUCUUAUGCCUAUAAAGCCCUUCUUUAAGCAAAAAAGUGUAUAAAGUAUUGUUAAACAUAAAGUAUAUAAUGGAAUUUCACCUAACUUUAGCCCACAAUUCUCUCUGAUUUGUUCAGUUAAAUAUUUUAACAGCUCAAGUUAUUAUAAUAUGUGAAGUGAAAUGAAGCAAAGGUAAGGGACCACAACUUCAAAUGAGAAGAAACCCUCCUUCAAAUAAAAAUAUUCAUCACCAUUGCCCUUAGAAUAGAAAGCAAAGUACUAUAUAUAGAUUAAAAACAGAACGAAGUACAGAUGGUGGUGGUCUCAAGAAUAUGCGGCUGCCGUUGGUGGAAAGCAUCAAAAGUAUGCUUCUUAGAUUUUAUCUUUUUCUUAAGAAGAUUAUAUAUAAUUUAGACAUGCUUCAAAGGUUCAUUUAACUAUUCCAAAAUGAUUAACACUUGGGAUUUUAUUAAUUGUUUGUUCGUACCAUUGGCAUUGAAAAAUAACAGUAACAGGUUCUAUGGUUAUGAUGGCAAACACUAGAUGUUUGGACACAUCAAACUAUGCAUGAAUUUAGCAUGAAUUACUGUUUCAAAUGUUGUUCAAAAUCCUAAUCCAAUUUGUCCCUUGUCAUCCAAUGAAGUUUCACAUGCUAGUUUACCAUGGUCUUAUUAUUAUAUGUAAUGAUACAUGGACUCUCACUUCUUUUUACAUUUGUGCAACACAUGUACAAAAAUAUAGUUAAUUCAGUUGAGUAGAUGAAUAAUUCAAAUUGCGACAUAAAUAUAGUUAAUUCAAUUACACGAUUAACCACAAUUUUCAACGUGGUCUAAUUUAACUAUUUAUUUAACUAAAUUAAAUAAAUUUUUUCACGCAAUUAACCACAUGUCACAUGUGUACAAAAACAUAGGUGUUCGUGAAACAUUUUUUAUUAUUAAGGGCAAGUAAUGGAUGGCAAGACCAGGGCUUGAUACAAUUUCAGUCACUAACAUAGAAUGGUACUUACGGAUCACUUUGGAAGUAUAACUUGUUUGUACCUUAUUAACUAAAUAGAUUUAAUGUAGACACAUGAUACUUAAUAAUGAAACAGUCUUUAUUCAUCUCUAGGGGCUAGGGGGGGCAAUUUUUUUGUCACAACCAUAUUGAAAAGGCUAAACUUCAAAAAAAAAUAUUUGUGUGUCUAAAAUUACGGCAAGUAAGACAAAAUCACAAUCACAUUUUGUGAUUUUUUUUAAGCUGUAAAAUUUAGCUUUUGUCAAAAUGGUUGUGUCUAGACAUACACUAAUUAAGAGAUUUAUGCAUAUACAAGUCAACAACUUUAUAUUGAAAACCAAAGUCAUCCAAGAGGUGUGAUGCAUGUUAGUUUGGUUGAGUGAUGAUAACUGAUAAGGAGUUUGGUUUUAUUUUCUUCACUAUCAUUUUGGUUUCUAAUUUUGUGAAAUGUGAAUAAAAAGAGUGUAGGCAGUAGGUACCAGAUGAUAUUGCAGUUUGCAUCCUUUAUUGAAUCACCUUUAAGGAUAUAAUUACAAAACAAAUGUAGCUACUUUUCUCAGUCAUAAAAAACCAGUUCCUUUAUGAUGCAGUAAACCUUGAAAUAGUUCUAACAAUGACUACAUAGAAUUAACAAUCUUUACAGCACAGAAAUGAAUUGUCAUUUGUCAAUACACAUUUCAGGAAUAAGCAGAAACCAUAUAUCCAGGAAAAAAUGUAGCUUCCUCUAACUCUGAAAAAUGGCCUCACGUUUCAUAAUAAAAAACCAGCAUAUAUACAACACACCUAACAGUGAUCUAAACGAUAUAAUUCGCAUGAAAGUACUAAGAAAAAUUCUUAGGGGUGCACACAGGUAAGGUACUUCCAAACUUCAAAUCCAUAAUUAAUUAAUGAAUUUAAUUUAUAUAUACUGUCAAUUUAAAAAAAAUUAUAGAGUAAUUAAUCACAACUAUCAAAUCAUUGAAAAUAUUUAUCUUUAACCACAAUUACUUCUAAAGUCGUCCAUAUGAUUAUGUGAUUUGUUGACAAAGUAAAUUUUUUUACACCCACAAUGUAUGAAAAUCAAAUCUGUUAAUUAUUUCAGGUGAAAUUCAUCUUCAAGUUGAAUGCUUUCACAGAAAGACUAACCCAUAUUGUACAAUAAUUAUCUGCUGAUCUCAAAC
rnacentral:lncRNA from 1 species